rnacentral:rRNA from 1 species
GACGUAGGAGGCGAGCGUUGUCCGGAGUUACUGGGCGUAAAGGGCGCGCAGGCGGCGGCGCGCGCCCCGGGUGAAAGGUCCCGGCUCAACCGGGAGACGGCCCGGGGAACGGCGCCGCUGGAGGGCGGCAGAGGCCGGUGGAAUUCCCGGUGUAGUGGUGAAAUGCGUAGAGAUCGGGAGGAACACCCGUGGCGAAGGCGGCCGGCUGGGCCGACCCUGACGCUGAGGCGCGAAGGCCCGGGGAGCGAGCGGG